rnacentral:rRNA from 1 species
AUUACCCAAUCCGGACACGGGGAGGUAGUGACAAGAAAUAACAAUACAGGGCAAUUGUCUUGUAAUUGGAAUGAUGGUGACGUAAAAUCUCACCAGAGUAACAAUUGGAGGGCAAGUCUGGUGCCAGCAGCCGCGGUAAUUCCAGCUCCAAUAGCGUAUAUUAAACUUGUUGCAGUUAAAAAGCUCGUAGUUGAAUUUCUGCGUUGCCCGACUCGGCUACUUGCCUUGUCUGGUUUCGCUUUUGGGGUUUUCCCCUUUUUACUUUGAGAAAAUUAGAGUGUUUCAAGCAGACUUGUGUCUUGAAUACUUCAGCAUGGAAUAAUAAAGUAGGACUUUGGUUCUAUUUUGUUGGUUUGUGAACCUUAGUAAUGGUUAAUAGGAACGGUUGGGGGCAUUCGUAUUUAA